UACAGAGGUCCCGAGCGUUGUUCGGAUUUAUUGGGCGUAAAGGGUGCGUAGGCGGCGCGGUAAGUCGGGUGUGAAAUCUCGGAGCUUAACUCCGAAACUGCAUUCGAUACUGCCGUGCUUGAGGACUGGAGAGGAGACUGGAAUUUACGGUGUAGCGGUGAAAUGCGUAGAUAUCGUAAGGAAGACCAGUGGCGAAGGCGGGUCUCUGGGCCGAUAUUGACGCUGAGGAGCGAAAGCGUGGGGAGCGAACAGG
rnacentral:rRNA from 1 species